AUUUAAAUCGUGUGUAUUUGUCCCCGUGAAGGCAUGCAGCUGAACAACAGGCUCCUGCAGCUGGUCGGCUUGAGGUUUGCUGACAACAACUACGACAUCGACUUCGACGAUUACCUCACCUGCAUCGUCCGUCUGGAGAACAUGUUCAGAGUUUUCCAGACUCUGGAUAAAUCCAGGAGGGGACGCGUGAACAUGAACCUGUUGCAGUUCCUGAUGUUGUCCAUGAACGUCUGAGGAGACGCUGAAAGCAAACAGAAGCCACCAGAAGAACAAAGCGAGUGCAGUGUGCUGUAUUUUGCGGCCGUAAUGAUGCAUUUUCCUUUUCAUGUUUAAAAUUCUCAUCUGUUUUUUUUUUGUGUUUGUUUGUUUGUUUUGGACUAAAUAAUGUGAGACACUGUCUGCACUAAAGUGUUGGAACGAUGGGAUCAAAUAUUAAAAUUGGCUGACUCAUGCUUUUGGACAAAACUACUUCUUUCUGCUCUCUGCAUGGAUGCAAAUAAACUUUGAAUAAAAUGUCUGGCUCUGA